rnacentral:rRNA from 1 species
CCCUUAGAUGUUCUGGGCGGCCCGCGCACUACAAUGGCGCUUUCAGCGAGUUCCUAUGUUGAAUUUUCCUGGGUAUUCUUGGAAGCGGCGUCUUGACUUGGGAUAGAUCCUUGUAAUUGCUGGUUUUGAACGAGGAAUUCCUUGUAAUCGAGGUUGAUCAGCUCGCGUUGAAUACGUCCCUGCCCUUUGUACACACCGCCCGUCGCUCCUACCGAUGAAUCGUCCGGUGAAGUUCACAGAGUGGCGGUUCGUGGAGUUGCUCGCGAAGUGAAAUGGACCUCACGAUUUAGAGGAAGGAGAAGUCGUAACA